GACAGUUUUCACUUUAUCACUUAUUGAAUAAUUUCUCUAUUCCCCAAAUAAUGUAAAAUGAUACCUCUGUCAUUUAUUUUUUAUAUUUGUGUAUGUCUGUUUUUGGAUUCUUUGCUCUGUUACACUGAUCAACUUGUCUGCCCUAUACCAUCACCACAAUUUUUCACUUACUAAGCCCUUAUAAUGAGUCUUGAUAAAGCAAAAUUUCACACCUCUUUUUGAAAUAAAUUUUUUAGUUAUUCUUUACCCCUCACUAUUCCAUAUAUAUCAUGGCAUUACUUUGUCAAGUUUUGUGAAACAUCCUAUUGGGACUUUGUUUAGAAAUAUAUUGAAUCUACAGAUAAAGGAAAUUGACAUCUUUUUUUAACUAUCAAAUAUUAUUAUCUAUGAACAUGAGAAAGGACAAGACCUGACCUAGUUUUGUUAAUUUUCCUCUUAUUUUUAAAAAUUUUAUGGUUUGGUAUAUGCUACCAUAAUUGAAACCUCAGAUUCUCCUCACAAAUUACUUUAUGCCAAGUGGUAUAGUAUCUGUUAAUUAGUGGGUAAAUAGUGUUUUUAAAGAAUGCAGUCAUCUAAAAUUUCAAAAUAUAAGGCUCAUUUGUAUGAAUUAAUUAUUUUAGAUGGCAAAUGUAUAAUGUAUAGCCUUUAAUAUUCUUAAAGUGGAUGUUAGUUAAGGACAAUUUUUAGUUGAGAGAGAGUGAAAGAGAGAGAGAUAAGGGGGGCAGAGAGGAUUCCAUUACAUUCAGCACAGUAUGAAACUAAGUCAAAGGAGUUUUGUUAAUUAAAUUCAAUUGCCAUCCAUUAGACCAGUGGAAUGAGAUGACUCUGCCUGGUGCUGACACAGCACAGGUGUAAAAAUGAAGAAAAAAUUAUAUCUCAUGUUGUGAAAGAGUCAGACUCUGAAAUCUGCUUAUACUUUGCUAUUUACAGGAUAUGACAUGCUUCAAGAGAGGAAAAUUAUUUCCAGAUUAUUUUUUCUUAUAUUUUUUUAAAAGUUGGCUUUAAGGGAGCACGUUUCUCUUUGAGGGUGGCCUGUUUCAUUGUCAAUAUUUGCUCUUCAUUGGAAGCUGAGGUCAUGUCAGAGUUACUCAGGAGAAAGACCUGGACUUUUCUUCUUAUCUUUUAAUGGUUUAUCAUUGAUAAGUUUGGACAUGCAAGCACCCGUGCUUUACCUCGUGCUGACCCUUGAGCAAGGCUGCCCACAUCUGUUCAGAAGCUUUCUAAGCCAUGGAGUAUUCUAAAUGAGCAUUUUGUUAAAUGGAUGAAGGAAGACUUAGUUUUCCAUUGUUAGGUGAAACCUAAUUAAAAAUUAAAUAAUGACCUUGUGUUGGCUUGUAAAUUCCUUAUUUCCUGCAUGUGUGAGUGUAUUUUGUUAGAACAUUCCAUUUUAAAGCAUGCCUUUUUUAUGACAAGAAAUACUUUUAAAAUACUAUUUGCUUUUGAAAUUACAGUAGGGAAUCAAAGGAUAGUCUCUUGUUGAGAGGAAGGCCCGAUUCUCUAGUGGACUUCUGGUGAAAUUAUGUGGCUACCUUCCAUUAAUGUUAAUGGAGGUUAUGGAUAUAAAUCCCUCCAUAGUGAUGGAAGAAUGAGCCCCAGAGAGAAGAAUGUUUCUAAUGAAUCACUGGAUUGUGAUAUAGGAUUAACUUGGUGUCCCUAAUACCAUUUUUUUUUCCUCCUGAAAGUUUAAGGUCUUAUGUUUAGGAACUAGUUUCUCUCCACCUUAAUCCUUUAUUGUCAAGUCUGCAAUAAUGUUAAGAACAGGAAAAAAAAAUGUAGAUUCCUGGAUAGGCACAGUUUUUAUAUUAAUGUAACUAUAUAGGCAUAGUUUUUAUAUUAAUACUGCAGUUUAUUAUUUAGUAUUAAAGCUCUCAAAUGUAUUUAUUGAGCACCUGCUGGGUACAAGGCUUUGAGCUUAGUGAUGAAAGCAUAUGACAUAGUCUGUAGCCUCAAAUUUUCUAUAAUCUCGUGAUAAAAAGACUGAAGGCCAUUAUGGCUGGACAGUUAAGGGAGAGUGACCUAAAUAAAGUUCAUAUUGGCGGGAGAGCAGCUUGCCACAGGGUUACACAGAAUAGGCAGUGGUGGUCCACAUAAUUAAUAGCUUUAUCAUAUGAGGUUUGAAGGUUUGAGUUACUUAUUAUAACUGAAAAUCUUUAUUAUCAAAAUGUGUGUUCAUUAUAGUGUUUGCUUGCCUUCUUGGGUGAAGAAAUACUUAUUAUGAGAGUAUGUAGAUUUUCCGUGAAGAAUUAGUAAUCAUGCAUCAGGUUGAUACCUGAUUUAAGGAUUGUUUGGAAAUAUUGUUAGAAUCAAAAUCAACGUUUGUUACUACACAGGGUUGAGCAUUCCAGGCACACUCUGGUCGUUUUGUUAUUCUAAUGUCCACUUAUUUCAUGUCUGCCGUGACCGUGACAGUUUUCAGUCACACAGAGCUGCCAUCAAAAGAGUGAUAAGCUUGUAAGUGAAGCCUUUGGGGAAGCAAUAAAGUCAUUUUUCUGGUCCCAUCUCAAAAGACAUUAUUGGAAAUUUAUUUAAAAGUGAUCAAGGUAGCACAUACGAGGCCUUCUACAGUUUGCAUUUUGGAAGUUAUUAACAAUCUGCAGUUAAGUCCAUUUAAAACUGAAAGUGGCUCUUCCACAAACUACUUUUUAAAUAGCUUGCUGGUUCUAAAUUUAAGGAGAAUGGAAAUAUUGGAAAUUAAAAGUCAAAAGAAAUUUCUGGGGCAUAAGAUCCUUUCAAGUUUACAAUUUCUCACUUUAGAUUUAAAACUUGAACACGGCCAUACUUUGCAUUUUAUGAUAUCUAAUUAGUGCCUUGUAAUAUAUUUUGUGAACAGUAUCUGUUAGCCAUAAUAUCAGGGACAGUUUAAAAAAUCUUCAGUACAUUUAUGAUAAAAGUAUUAGCAUUGUAAGGUCUUAAAUUGACAUCUAGGACAUUAGGAAAUCAAAUUUAAAGCAUUGCAUUGUCUGUUACUCAAUGGAGUGGACUGAGGACAGCGUGUGACUUGUGUACUGCAAAUGAUGCAAUAGCUAAAUAUCCUAGUGUGAGUUAAGGUUGAUUAAGUGAUCAUCUUUAACUCUGCUUUUCCCAGGGCUCUUUGAACUCUUGUUUUAUUAGGUAAUAUGCUAUGCUGUUAUUUUAUUGCUGUUUAAAAAACCUUCUCUUUUGGGAAAGAAAACAUGUGAAUUCUUUGGUUUCUAGAUAGAAAUUAGCAAUCUUUUGCUCGGAAUGUAAAAGUAUGCUGUAUUAUCACAAACUGACCCUCCUCCUCCCCAAGAAUUCUAGGGAGUAAAAUGCGUGCACAGGAAAUCAGAAAUGGAUCAACAGAGUUAUAGGUUUUAAAAAAACUGCCUUGCAUUUUUGCCCUGGAAUUAAUUUUCAGUGAAAAUUAAAAUAUUUUUUCUGU
rnacentral:lncRNA from 1 species